UAAAUCUGACUUGGAUGUGAGAACAUCAAUACCUGCUAUGCUGAAGUGUACAUGUAGCAAGUUUUUCAACAAUUUGGUUUUUGACAUGAUAUAGCCCCUCCUUGCUGGGACUCAAAAAAGUUCUGAAUUGUGCUUUGUGCUAUUGUAUUUUCAGAUCUCUUUCUCUCUCUGAAAUGUCACUCGUAUGUCUUAAUAUUUGGACAGAAACAUGCAUAACUUCUUUACUUGAUACUCUUUUCUGUCAGGGCAGGCUUAAGCCAUACAGGUCUUAACUAAAAUCUUUAGCAACAUUUAUGGCAUAAUGCUUUUGCAAAACAUGAUUUCUUUGUUUUUGGUUAAUUGUUUUUUUGUUGACCAAGAAAUGUUCUUAAUUUUCAUUCAAGUUUCAGCAAUUGUUUCAGAUGCGUAGGUUGCUCGACAUGAGGGCAGCAUAUCUUGUGGUGGUAGUUUUUAGAACAGGUUUAUAAUUUAUAUACCAUCCGAAGUGAAGCUCAAGGAUAGAAGAGUGGUAUGUUGCAUACCAUUUGAAAGUUCAAUAACAAAAGAGUGGAAUAGCCUUGUGCAUCUAGGGCUGGAUAACUGGAUGUCUUUGUAGUCAUGUGGAGGGACAAAUUUAGACAAUUUGAUGAUUCAUCAUUAGCAAAGCAUAUGAUAUCAACAAAGCGGAAGUAGUCUCUGCUGCUUUUCUAAACCUACAGCCUGUGAUGUGGGAUGCAAUCAUGUAAAUUUAAUUAUCAUCAGUUUAAUAAUGUCCCAUGGAGAUCACUUCCUGAUUUUCAUCAAGAAAGAAUCCUAAUAGGUUAUAUAGGUUAGUAGUCAAGUUUCUUGCAGCUAAAAUGAAAAAUUUUGUAGGUGAGGAAAAUAAGGGAAAACAAAAGAUUUGUAUUGGUGAAGGAUAUUUAUGGAUUUUGUGAUAUUAGCUACCUGGGAUAUUUAGAUAUCCAAAGGUAAUCAUAACCUUUUUUUUUAUUAAAUCAUUUUCAAGUCUUCCUUGGUCUCAAACUAUCACUUGAAAAACACAUUGGCUCACCUUGUCUCUCUGGACCAUUUACAAAUUUCCUUUUCAAUAACUUACAACUUCAAAUGAUUUAUUUGUCCUCGUUUUAAUUUUAGUUGAUAUUGUCCUUAAUUGUCAUUGAUAAUAUCUUAUCAUGUAUGGUAAUACCAUUUCAUCAAAUUUCUUUUUAUAUGUUCUUUAACUAUCAUUUGGGCAACUCAAGUAUCUAUUUAUGAAUCUUGUUUGAUAUAUUUUAGGAAUGGUAAAUCAAUGCUCAUAAGUCUGCUCUGAAUCCUGCAAUAAAGAGAGAGAGAUUUAUGACCCAGGUGAUAGUAUGCACAUAGCAAUUAAUGUUGUAUUUCUUUUUUCCUUAUGCAAUGUGAUUAUACAGUUUAUUGCAUUGAACUCGCCUUAAAUAUGCGUCUCAACUUCUAUUCAUAUUAUGUCCUCCUGCAAUAAACAGAGAGAGAUUUAUGACCCAGGUGAUAGUAUGCACUUAGCAAUUAAUGUUGUAUUUCUUUUUUCUUUAUGCAGUGUUAUUAUACAGUUUAUUGCAUUGAACUUGCCUUAAAUAUGCAUACUAUACGAUCAAUCCAUUUUGUCAAGAAAUCAAUUCAUAGUAUGCAAUUCAUAGUAUGUAUGUGUGUGUAUAUGUAUAUAUGUAUAUAUACAUAUAUACAUAUAUAUAACAUAUAUAUAUAUGUAUAUAUGUAUAAAUACAUACAUAUACAUAUAUAUAUAUAUAUAUAUGUAUUUAUAUAUAUGUAUACAGAUACAUACAUACAUACAUGUGUGUGUGUGUAUAUAUAUAUAUAUAUAUAUAUAUAUAUAUAAUCCAUCACUAAACUGGAGUGGUGUAACUUGUGAAAUCCAAUUUGCAUCAUUUACUUGUUCUCAGGUUGCAUUGUGAGUAGACAAAGAGUCACAGAUGAAGAGGAAAUAGUUGGAUUACAGGGAAGAUCUGCAUGAUUACUUCUCUUACUGCAAAGCAAAGAAUGUGCACAGCUACUUUUUCUUUUUGUCUUGUAUCCAAGGAAUCUGCAGCCUAACAAAGCAGCUAUAUGCUGCUCCACCUUUUUACCCAAUAAAACCUGCCAUGUAAAUGAUGAAUCCACAAAUAGUAAUUAUCUUGUCAGUAAAAAUUUUACUAGCAUGCAAAUUAAGUUCCUUUGUGAUUUUAUUUUGACAUGGAAUAGUCUUUCUAUUUGUAAGGGUGGCAUUGGAUUUGUUGUUUUAUGAUUUGAGUUUCACUUUUUUAAGAUUCCUACAUUUCUCAUUUUGUUUGAGGUGACAUGUAAAAUUACAUAUACAUGGAACCAUAGAAUCAUGUCAAUUCAGGCCGAGCCUAAUUAUUCCCAACUAUGCUCAACCUUGCCUUUUAACUAAUAUCCAUCUUAUUAUAUUGUUCAGGCUCAAUCUAUGAGAUGAUGAUACCUACAUUUUAUGUCUAGAUGAAGAUAAGCUGAUAAGGAUUCUCCUACAUUGAUCUUUUUCAGACUCCAUAUUAGUAAGCUUUUUCUUUUUUUUUACAUUGAUCCUUUUCAGACUCCACAUUAAUGAUUUUUUUUACCAUUAGGAAGAUAAAC
rnacentral:lncRNA from 1 species